ACACAUGCAAGUCGAGCGGUNNAGAGGUGCUUGCACCUCUUGAGAGCGGCGGACGGGUGAGUAAUACCUAGGAAUCUGCCUGAUAGUGGGGGAUAACGUUCGGAAACGGACGCUAAUACCGCAUACGUCCUACGGGAGAAAGCAGGGGACCUUCGGGCCUUGCGCUAUCAGAUGAGCCUAGGUCGGAUUAGCUAGUUGGUGAGGUAAUGGCUCACCAAGGCUACGAUCCGUAACUGGUCUGAGAGGAUGAUCAGUCACACUGGAACUGAGACACGGUCCAGACUCCUACGGGAGGCAGCAGUGGGGAAUAUUGGACAAUGGGCGAAAGCCUGAUCCAGCCAUGCCGCGUGUGUGAAGAAGGUCUUCGGAUUGUAAAGCACUUUAAGUUGGGAGGAAGGGCAGUUACUUAAUACGUGAUUGUCUUGACGUUACCGACAGAAUAAGCACCGGCUAACUCUGUGCCAGCAGCCGCGGUAAUACAGAGGGUGCAAGCGUUAAUCGGAAUUACUGGGCGUAAAGCGCGCGUAGGUGGUUUGUUAAGUUGAAUGUGAAAUCCCCGGGCUCAACCUGGGAACUGCAUCCAAAACUGGCAAGCUAGAGUAUGGUAGAGGGUAGUGGAAUUUCCUGUGUAGCGGUGAAAUGCGUAGAUAUAGGAAGGAACACCAGUGGCGAA
rnacentral:rRNA from 1 species